rnacentral:lncRNA from 7 species
AAGAGAGUGGCCACAGGCGAGGGGUCUGUGCAGGUUGCUCCAGAGACAACAUCAUGACAGAGAGAAUUGGUGGACAUGUCUCUCUGGCAUGUCAGAGAAGGCAAUGAAGGUCAAAAGGAGCAGAUGAAAGGGAAAUCAAGAGACCUCAGACCACAGAGGUACUGAAAAGAGUCAAGUCAUUUAAUGUUUCCCUUCACAUUUGCUUCCACCUUGUUCAGGUCACAUUAAAAUGAAAACUUCCAUACUGGAUCAAACUUGACAAAAAAGAACAGUUAUACCUUAAGAAAAAAAGUUGGCCUACUUUUUGUCUCAGUUCUCUCAUUGCUUUUUUGAAAAUGUAGGUGAUCUAAAGGGACUCUGUCAGGUCCUCUUUGCCCCUAGAUUCAGAUUACAUUUAAGAGUAAACAAAACACUUAGAAAAAAACCUUCUAUAAUCAGUGAAAGUUUUUGUGAUUUAAUAAAAAGAAGAAAACUUAAGUGGAAAUACUUCAGAUGCUACUCCUUUCCUGUGCUACAAAACAGUGCUGGUGCAUAGGAAAUGUGUACGAAAACCUAAAAGAAACAGGAGGAAACUAUCAAUGCUGCUUUCUCUGACUAAAGUGAGGGGAAUUAAAGAAGUGUUUCUCUACUUCUACAAUAUUGAUGUAAUCCCAUUUAAGGCUCCAGUUGAUAAGUAGGUCUAUACACAUGAAGUGCCAGCUCUCUUAUUUAAUGAUUAAUAAGCAAUGGUGAAAAGUGAAAUGUUUUGUUAAUCUCUUGCUAUUUUCAAUGACAUCAUGUUGGAGUAAAUAAAAAAAAAAAAAAGGAGUAAAAGGAGU